rnacentral:rRNA from 1 species
GAUGAACGCUGGCGGCGUGCCUAAUACAUGCAAGUCGAGCGAACGGACGAGAAGCUUGCUUCUCUGAUGUUAGCGGCGGACGGGUGAGUAACACGUGGAUAACCUACCUAUAAGACUGGGAUAACUUCGGGAAACCGGAGCUAAUACCGGAUAAUAUUUUGAACCGCAUGGUUCAAAAGUGAAAGACGGUCUUGCUGUCACUUAUAGAUGGAUCCGCGCUGCAUUAGCUAGUUGGUAAGGUAACGGCUUACCAAGGCAACGAUGCAUAGCCGACCUGAGAGGAUGAUCGGCCACACUGGAACUGAGACACGGUCCAGACUCCUACGGGAGGCAGCAGUAGGGAAUCUUCCACAAUGGGCGAAAGCCUGACGGAGCAACGCCGCGUGAGUGAUGAAGGUCUUCGGAUCGUAAAACUCUGUUAUUAGGGAAGAACAUAUGUGUAAGUAACUGUGCACAUCUUGACGGUACCUAAUCAGAAAGCCACGGCUAACUACGUG